rnacentral:lncRNA from 1 species
CAGCUGGUUUUGAGGAAGUGAGCUGCCAUGUACUAGGCCACGUGGCAAGGGCCUGGUUGGGGACCUCCAGGGGUUGAGAGCAUCCUCUGGACAACAUGGAAAAAGAAAAUGAAAAUGGUGACCUCAGCCCUAUAGCUAGAAGGAAUUGAAUCCUGUCAACAACGAUUGGGUUCUCGGUCUCGCUGACUUCAAGAAUGAAGCCGCAGACCCUCACGACUCAUCACUCACUGCAGAUGUUACUUUAAGACAUUCUGGAGCAGCGUCAUGUGCAGUCAUGUGAAAGUAUAUUCCAAACCCAGAACCUGAGCACAGAUUGGGACUGAGAAACACUUGUCUAGAUUGUCAGGCAAUCUGUAACAUCAGCAGUGGAUGGAAAGAAGGAGAAAGAUGAGUUUUAUGGACGCUAACCCAUCUAUAUGGCUUUGGAAAAUAAAGUACUGCUGUUUUUUUUUGUAAAGGA